rnacentral:lncRNA from 1 species
UAGGCCGGAGGUCCUCAAACUUUAGCUUGCAUCAAAACGGCUGGAAGGUUUGUUGCUGUGCCCCACACCCAAUUUUCUGAGACUGUAGGUCUGAGGUGAGGCCUGAAAAUUUGCAUUUCUAACUUAUUCCCAGGAUGGUGGUCCAGGAACAGUUCUUGGCCAUUUUUUAGUCUUUGUGAAGCUGGCUGGAUUGUCUUAGUCAUGAAUUAUAGUUCUGCAUUGCCCUCAGAAUAAAAUCUAAAUUAGUUGGAAUGGCACACUGAUCCUGUAUGCUGACGCCUAUUUACCUCUCCAGCCAUUCUGCAGAACUAGUAGUUCUUGACGGAAGCUGUAUUCGUU